rnacentral:rRNA from 1 species
CUCGUAGGCGGUUUGUCGCGUCGUUCGUGAAAACUCCGCGCUUAACGUGGAGCGUGCGGGCGAUACGGGCAGACUUGAGUUCGGUAGGGGAGACUGGAAUUCCUGGUGUAGCGGUGAAAUGCGCAGAUAUCAGGAGGAACACCGGUGGCGAAGGCGGGUCUCUGGGCCGAUACUGACGCUGAGGAGCGAAAGCGUGGGGAGCGAACA